ACUGAAACCCAGAGGCGCAAUGAAAGUGAAGCCGGCUUGCCGGUCGACACACGAUCCGCCAGUCUCGUGCUGGUGGCGCAGUGUGGCCCCGUCCUGGCUGCUUGCAGCGGGGCGGAGGCAGAGCUGCAGCUGAGAGACCCGAAAGAUGGUGAACUUAGAGUGCACAGGACGAAGUCAGAGGAAACUCUGAUGGAGGUCCGAAGAGGUUCUAACGUGCAAAUUGAUCUCCAGAUGUGCUCUAAGGGGCGAAAGACUAAUCGAACCAUCUAGUAGCUGGUUCCUUCCGACUGA
rnacentral:rRNA from 1 species